rnacentral:rRNA from 1 species
UACGAAGGGGGCUAGCGUUGCUCGGAAUCACUGGGCGUAAAGGGCGCGUAGGCGGAUCUUUAAGUCGGGGGUGAAAGCCCAGGGCUCAACCCUGGAAUUGCCUUCGAUACUGGAGAUCUUGAGACCGGAAGAGGUAAGUGGAACUGCGAGUGUAGAGGUGAAAUUCGUAGAUAUUCGCAAGAACACCAGUGGCGAAGGCGGCUUACUGGUCCGGUACUGACGCUGAGGUGCGAAAGCGUGGGGAGCAAACAGG